rnacentral:tRNA from 1 species
GCCCUGCUGGCGCAAUGGUAGCGCGCGAGACUUCUACCACUAUGGCUCCUAACGGAACGGAAUCUCGAGGCUGCGGGUUCGAGUCCCGCGUAGGGUU